UUUAAUGGGACAAAUUCUGAUUCUCUUACUCACGAGUAAUCCCGUUGAAGCACAUACACAGAAGGAAAGGAAUUUCCCAUAAAAUUGCCAGCAUAACAAAAUUUCAACUUGCCACUCCGUGCAGCAGCUGCAAGCUUGCAGAGCCGGGGGAAGCAGGUCCAAGCAGGGAAGCUACAGGGCACGCAUCCGUCCAGAGCUGAACCAUAGGACACAGCGCCCCCUCUGACAGAGUGCGGGAACUGCGCGUCUUCGUUCUGCUCGGAGAAAGCUGGCAGUCGCAGCUGCAUAGCCCUGCAACGUGGGGAAGGAUUCUGAGGCACAGAAAGAUGAAAUAAUUUGCACAAGGUCUCACAGCAAGUCAGUGGCAAAAUCAGAAGUAAACCCCAGAAUACUGACUACUGUGCCUUGUUCCCUGGACCAUGAUGACUCCCUUAAAACCUUUUAAAGGAUCUG